GCCAUGGGGUCACAAAAGAAUAGGACACAACUUAGCGACUAAACAAGUAUAAAACAGUUUUUGUUCCUACCAUGCAACUGUUUCUUGAAAGAAUUCCAAUAAAGGUUUCCCAGUAAUCAUGUACAUUUUAUGGAAGUCUAUAUACAUACAUAUAUAUAAUUGCUUUUAAAUUUAUUUUCUAAUUGAGGAAAUUGAAUAUCCAGAGAGAUGGAUGGGAAAAUGGAAAACAGUCCAUUUUUUUCUGUUCAUUCUCAUCCAUGGUCUUUUACCUAAAGAUUCCAUCUAAUUAGUUCACCUGUGAGGUUGCAAAUAUCACCUGUGAUAUUCCAAAGGAAACUAGAUUGACUAGAUGGGAUGUUAAAGGAAAGUUUAUCAUCUUGAAUGACUGUAAGCAUCUCCCUUACACUAUGGAAUAACUUAUGUACUGUCAAAUCCAGUAGUUUCAUGGCACAGAUACAUUUUACAGGAUGAGUCUUGUAGUCCAUCUAUUCCUCCUGUACCAUCUUCUAUUCAUCCUUCCUAAAUGGCAUUUAUUUUCAAGGUAAUUCACUUGUGAUUACUCGUCCAUUCAAUUAAAGUUAAGUCAGCAAGAAAUCAAGAAGGGGUGAAAUCUAAGGCUUGGUGACUCAUUACUACUUCCUUGCACAGAAAUGCAAAUGAACUUACCCUUGAAGCAAGCAGCAAACUGUUUCCUUUCAUCACAAAACUCUAAUGAAUCGCAAAAAUUAAGAUUCACACAGACCACCUCUUUACCCCAACUACCUUCAAGCUGUGUUUCCCAGGCUGAACUUUUAACCAGUUUCAUCACAAUUGCUUAGAAUUCCCUGUGUCCACGGGGACCCUGAAUAUUGCGGGGAGCCCCAGGACAGUUGAAAAAGGAAGUGACCCAGCAAUUUUAGUUUCAUUUUUUUCCCCUAAUACUUAAUGAGUUGGGAAAAAUUUCCCUACUUACCCGCCAAAAAUAUUUCCUGUUGGCAUUUUUGGGAACUGUAUCACUGGUGUAGAUUUCACCUAUUAGAGGUCCAAAACGUGUUCCCUUUGCCUACAAAUCACUUACUGAGUGCCUUACUGAUACGGACGAAGAGGAGGUAAAAUGUAUUUAUUUCCCGUUUUUAUUAUCCCUCGUGGGUCCUUUAUAGUUGUGCACCUGAAAUGGUAGGCCUUUAUAGAGGAAUCAAUAAAUGUCUGCAGUGGAA